rnacentral:rRNA from 1 species
AGUGAACGCUGGCGGCAGGCCUAACACAUGCAAGUCGAACGGCAGCACAGUAAGCGUUUGCUCUUACGGGUGGCGAGUGGCGGACGGGUGAGGAAUACAUCGGAAUCUACUUUUUCGUGGGUGAUAACGUAGGGAAACUUACGCUAAUACCGCAUACGACCUACGGGUGAAAGCAGGGGAUCUUCGGACCUUGCGCGAUUGAAUGAGCCGAUGCCGGACUAGCUUGUUGGCGGGGUAAAGGCCCACCAAGGCGACGAUCCGUAGCGGGCCUGAGAGGAUGACAGGCCAGACAGGAACUGAGACCGGGUCCCGCCUCCUACGGGAGGCAGAAGCGGGGAAUCUUCCGCAAUGGGCGCAAGCUUGACCCAGCAAUGCCGCGUGAGUGAGGAAGGCCUUGGGUUCGUAAAGCUCUUUUAUUAGGAAAGAAAAACGGGGGAAGAAUCCCCGCUCGUCCUGACGGUACCCAAAAAGAAAGCCCCGGCUAACUACGUG